rnacentral:rRNA from 1 species
CACAGGUGCUGCAUGGCUGUCGUCAGCCCGUGUCGUGAGAUGUUGGGUUAAGUCCCGCAACGAGCGCAACCCUUGUCAUUAGUUGCUACAUUCAGUUGGGCACUCUAAUGAGACUGCCGGUGACAAGCCGGAGGAAGUGGGGAUGACGUCAAGUCCUCAUGGCCCUUAUAGGUGGGGCUACACACGUCAUACAAUGGCUGGUACAAAGGGUUGCCAACCCGCGAGGGGGAGCCAAUCCCAUAAAGCCAGUCGUAGUCCGGAUCGUAGUCUGCAACUCGACUACGUGAAGUCGGAAUCGCUAGUAAUCGUGGAUCAGAAUGUCACGGUGAAUACGUUCCCGGGUCUU